rnacentral:snRNA from 1 species
AGCUGUGCGCAGUGGCAGUAUCGUAGCCAAUGAGGUUUAUCAGUGGCGCGAUUAUUGCUAAUUGAAGACUUAUAUACUG